rnacentral:rRNA from 1 species
AUGCACGCUGGCGGCGUGCCUAAUACAUGCAAGUCGAGCGAACAGACGAGGAGCUUGCUCCUCUGACGUUAGCGGCGGACGGGUGAGUAACACGUGGAUAACCUACCUAUAAGACUGGGAUAACUUCGGGAAACCGGAGCUAAUACCGGAUAAUAUAUUGAACCGCAUGGUUCAAUAGUGAAAGACGGUUUUGCUGUCACUUAUAGAUGGAUCCGCGCCGCAUUAGCUAGUUGGUAAGGUAACGGCUUACCAAGGCAACGAUGCGUAGCCGACCUGAGAGGGUGAUCGGCCACACUGGAACUGAGACACGGUCCAGACUCCUACGGGAGGCAGCAGUAGGGAAUCUUCCGCAAUGGGCGAAAGCCUGACGGAGCAACGCCGCGUGAGUGAUGAAGGUCUUCGGAUCGUAAAACUCUGUUAUUAGGGAAGAACAAAUGUGUAAGUAACUAUGCACGUCUUGACGGUACCUAAUCGGAAAGCCACGGCUAACUACGUG